AUUGAACGCUGGCGGCAGGCCUAACACAUGCAAGUCGAGCGGAGCGGCGGACGGGUGAGUAAUGCCUAGGAAUCUGCCUGGUCGUGGGGGAUAACGUCCGGCAACGGGCGCUAAUACCGCAUACUAUCAGAUGAGCCUAGGUCGGUGUAGCUAGUUGGUGGGGUAAAGGCAUACAAAGGCGACGAUCCGUAACUGGUCUGAGAGGACGAUCAGUCACACUGGAACGGAGACACGGUCCAGACUCCUACGGGAGGCAGCAGUGGGGAAUAUUGGACAAUGGGCGAAUGCCUGAUCCAGCCAUGCCGCGUGGGUGAAGAAGGUCUUCGGAUUGUAAAGCACUUUAAGUUGGGAGGCGGUACCUACAGAAUAAGCACCGGCUAACUACGUGCCAGCAGCCGCGGUAAUUC
rnacentral:rRNA from 1 species